CCGGGAGCCAGUUGCAGUAAAGUCUUGCCAGUAACGUUUCUCUUAAGAACGAGAAAGCUACUCAAAGAAAUGAUCUCUUCCUGGAUGUUGUGGUCCACGAAUAUUAUGUCUGGAACAUCAGAGCCAUCUUGUCUCCAUGAUGGGAGUUCCAUCUAAAGACAAAGUCAAAACCCAGCAGAGGACACAGCUGAAGGAACACGAGAAAGUGGCAUGGAAACGCUGAAGCCCCAGCACCGGCAGACCUCAGUUAUUGGGGCCAAUCAACCUCUUGUUACUGUUCAAGCGAGUUUGGAAACGUUGUCAGAGACCCACAACAGAAAACAACUCAAACAGCUCAUACCUAAAGACUCCUACAUGGCUUUGAUGACAUAAAGAGUUUGUAGAGUGAAGACAGAAAUGGUGAAUGAAUAAACAAUUUGGGCUUGAAUGUAAUGACCAAAAGAAGUCCAGGAGAGUUUCAGGGAACCAACUUGCAGCUACAUCCACAAUUCCUCAACACUGGAACAACAUGCUUAUGACCUUUCCUUUUCACAGCAACAGUGACGUGUUUGGUUUGUAACAGUUUCUGAACCACUGAAGUACUUUUCAACUUUCUCCCUUGGAAAAGCUGGCAUCUUGCCUGAAAUCCUUGGUGUGGUCUAGCAUUGCUUUUGUUUUAAUCACAUUCCAGUGAGAAACAGCCACUUAGCCAAAUUUACAUCAGCACUUCCUAUGGUAGCUAUUGGAAACAGCACGGGCAAAAAUGUUGCUAUCUACUGCAUUCAUUGGACUCUGGUAGCUUGUAACAAAUAAAUAGAUGUAUUUUGGCUCCUCUUCUCCACACUUUUCCUCUAUGUUUAAAAAUAU
rnacentral:lncRNA from 10 species